AAGUCGUAACAAGGUUUCCGUAGGUGAACCUGCGGAAGGAUCAUUAUCGAAUAUAAACUUGGAUGGACUGUUGCUGGCUUUUCUUUGAGGGGCAUGUGCACGUUUAUCCUCUUUAUUUUUCCACCUGUGCACCUUCUGUAGGCUUGGAUUAUCAGUGGUUCUAACGUGUCUUUUCAAAGGCAUAAGAAUUGUUUUGGGACUGCUGUGUUUAAACGCAUGUUUAUCGGCUUUCCCUUUUAUUUUCCAAGUCUAUGUUUGAUAUAUACACUCCAGAAAUGUAAUAGAAUGCUGUACUUUAGGUCAUUUGUACCUAUAAUAAAAUCAGUACAACUUUCAGCAACGGAUCUCUUGGCUCUCGCAUCGAUGAAGAACGCAGCGAAAUGCGAUAAGUAAUGUGAAUUGCAGAAUUCAGUGAAUCAUCGAAUCUUUGAACGCAUCUUGCGCUCCCUGGUAUUCCAAGGAGCAUGCCUGUUUGAGUAUCAUUAAAUUAUCAACUGUGCCACUUUGGUCCACAGAUUGGNAUGUGGGAGAUUUCUUGCAGGCUUUUGACUAGUCAGCUCUCCUGAAAUGUAUUAGCAGUGCCUUUGUUGGUUCAUUAGGUGUGAUAAUUUAUCUACAUCUUCACAUGGUACCUUCAUUUGUAAAGGUCAUAUUGCUUCUAAUUGUCUUUGGACAAAGAAACAUAUAAUGUGUGACAAACUUGAUCUCAAAUCAGGCAGGACUACCCGCUGAACUUAAGCAUAUCAAUAAGCGGAGGAAAAGAAACUAACAAGGAUUCCCCUAGUAACUGCGAGUGAAGCGGGAAAAGCUCAAAUUUAAAAUCUGACAGUUGUUCUGGCUGUCCGAGUUGUAAUCUAGAGAAGUGUUACCCGCGCUGGACCGUGUACAAGUCUCCUGGAAUGGAGCAUCAUAGAGGGUGAGAAUCCCGUCUUUGACAUGGACUACCAGGGCUUUGUGGUGCGCUCUCAAAGAGUCGAGUUGUUUGGGAAUGCAGCUCAAAAUGGGUGGUAAAUGCCAUCUAAAGCUAAAUAUUGGCGAGAGACCGAUAGCGAACAAGUACCGUGAGGGAAAGAUGAAAAGAACUUUGGAAAGAGAGUUAAACAGUACGUGAAAUUGCUGAAAGGGAAACGCUUGAGGUCAGUCGCAUCGACUGGAAAUCAACCUUGCUUUUGCUUGGUGUAUUUUCUGGCUUGAUGGGUCAGCAUCAAUUUUGGUCGCUGGAUAAAGGCUGGGGGAAUGUGGCAUCUUAGGAUGUGUUAUAGCCCUUGGUCGCAUACAGCGGUUGGGAUUGAGGAACUCAGCAUGCCGCAAGGCCGGGUCGUUUUACGACCACGUUUACGUGCUUAGGAUGCUGGCAUAAUGGCUUUAAUCGAC
rnacentral:rRNA from 1 species